AGGGAAUCUUCCACAAUGGGUGCAAACCUGAUGGAGCAAUGCCGCGUGAGUGAAGAAGGUCUUCGGAUCGUAAAGCUCUGUUGUUAGAGAAGAACACGUGCUAGGUAACUACUAGCGCCUUGACGGUAUCUAACCAGAAAGUCACGGCUAACUACGUGCCAGCAGCCGCGGUAAUACGUAGGUGACAAGCGUUGUCCGGAUUUAUUGGGCGUAAAGGGAGCGCAGGCGGUCUGUUUAGUCUAAUGUGAAAGCCCACGGCUUAACCGUGGAACGGCAUUGGAAACUGACAGACUUGAAUGUAGAAGAGGAAAAUGGAAUUCCAAGUGUAGCGGUGGAAUGCGUAGAUAUUUGGAGGAACACCAGUGGCGAAGGCGAUUUUCUGGUCUAACAUUGACGCUGAGGCUCGAAAGCGUGGGGAGCGAACAGGAUUAGAUACCCUGGUAGUCCACGCCGUAAACGAUGAGUGCUAAGUGUUGGGGGCUUUCCGGCCCUCGGUGCUGGAGCUAACGUAUUAAGCACUCCGCCUGGGGAUUACGACCGCAAGGUUGAAACUCAAAAGAAUUGACGGGGACCCGCACAAGCGGUGGAGCAUGUGGUUUAAUUCGAAGCAACGCGAAGAACCUUACCAGCUCUUGACAUCUUCUGACAACUCUAGAGAUAGAGCGUUCCCUUCGGGGACAGAAUGACAGGUGGUGCAUGGUUGUCGUCAGCUCGUGUCGUGAGAUGUUGGGUUAAGUC
rnacentral:rRNA from 1 species